rnacentral:rRNA from 1 species
UACAGAGGGUGCAAGCGUUAAUCGGAGUUACUGGGCGUAAAGGGCGCGUAGGCGGUUAGUUAAGUGAGAUGUGAAAGCCCUGGGCUUAACCUGGGAACUGCAUCUUAUACUGGCUAGCUGGAGUACUGUAGAGGGUAGUGGAAUUUCCGGUGUAGCGGUGAAAUGCGUAGAGAUCGGAAGGAACACCAGUGGCGAAGGCGGCUACCUGGACAGAUACUGACGCUGAGGCGCGAGAGCGUGGGGAGCAAACAGG